rnacentral:rRNA from 1 species
CCUACGGGGGGCAGCAGUGGGGAAUAUUGCACAAUGGGCGCAAGCCUGAUGCAGCCAUGCCGCGUGUGUGAAGAAGGCCUUCGGGUUGUAAAGCACUUUCAGUUGUGAGGAAAGGGAUGUAGUUAAUAACUGCAUUCUGUGACGUUAGCAACAGAGGAAGCACCGGCUAACUCCGUGCCAGCAGCCGCGGUAAUACGGAGGGUGCGAGCGUUAAUCGGAAUUACUGGGCGUAAAGCGUGCGUAGGCGGUUACUUAAGUCAGAUGUGAAAUCCCGGGGCUCAACCUCGGAACUGCAUUUGAAACUGGGUGACUAGAGUUUUGUAGAGGGUGGUGGAAUUUCCAGUGUAGCGGUGAAAUGCGUAGAGAUUGGAAGGAGCAUCAGUGGCGAAGGCGGCCACCUGGACAAAAACUGACGCUGAGGCACGAAAGCGUGGGGAGCAAACAGGAUUAGAUACCCUGGUAGUCCACGCCGUAAACGAUGUCAACUAGCCGUCUGUAUCCUUGAGAUGUGGGUGGCGCAGCUAACGCGCUAAGUUGACCGCCUGGGGAGUACGGCCGCAAGGUUAAAACUCAAAUGAAUUGACGGGGGCCCGCACAAGCGGUGGAGCAUGUGGUUUAAUUCGAUGCAACGCGAAGAACCUUACCAUCCCUUGACAUCCAGAGAAUUUACUAGAGAUAGUUUAGUGCCUUCGGGAACUCUGUGACAGGUGCUGCAUGGCUGUCGUCAGCUCGUGUUGUGAAAUGUUGGGUUAAGUCCCGCAACGAGCGCAACCCCUAUCCUUAUUUGCCAGCGCGUAAUGGCGGGAACUCUAAGGAGACUGCCGGUGAUAAACCGGAGGAAGGUGGGGAGGACGUCAAGUCAUCAUGGCCCUUACGGGAUGGGCUACACACGUGCUACAAUGGCAUAUACAGAAUGCUGCAAUACCGCGAGGUGGAGCGAAUCACACAAAGUAUGUCGUAGUCCGGAUCGGAGUCUGCAACUCGACUCCGUGAAGUCGGAAUCGCUAGUAAUCGUAGAUCAAAAUGCUACGGUGAAUACGUUCCCGGGCCUUGUACACACCGCCCGUC